rnacentral:rRNA from 1 species
UAACGAAUAUUCCGCAAUGGACGAAAGUCUGACGGAGCAAUGCCGCGUGCAGGAUGAAGCGGUUUCGCCGUGUAAACUGCUGUCAGGGGCAGGAAAAACUGAUCCGCCCCAAAGGAAGAGACGGCUAACCCUGUGCCAGCAGCCGCGGUAAUACGAAGGGGGCUAGCGUUGUUCGGAAUUACUGGGCGUAAAGCGCACGUAGGCGGACUCUUAAGUCAGGGGUGAAAUCCCGGGGCUCAACCUCGGAACUGCCCCUUGAUACUGUGAGUCUAGAGACCGGAAGAGGUGAGUGGAAUUCCGAGUGUAGAGGUGAAAUUCGUAGAUAUUCGGAAGAACACCAGUGGCGAAGGCGGCUCACUGGACGUGUAUUGACGCUGAGGUACGAAAGCGUGGGGAGCAAACAGGAUUAGAUACCCUGGUAGUCCCUGAGCGGGCUGGCAAGGCGCAU